rnacentral:rRNA from 1 species
GUGAGGAAUAUUGGACAAUGGGCGCAAGCCUGAUCCAGCCAUGCCGCGUGCAGGAAGACGCAUCUAUGGUGUGUAAACUGCUUUUGUACGGGAAGAAACACUCCCUCGUGAGGGAGCUUGACGGUACCGUAAGAAUAAGGAUCGGCUAACUCCGUGCCAGCAGCCGCGGUAAUACGGAGGAUCCAAGCGUUAUCCGGAAUCAUUGGGUUUAAAGGGUCCGUAGGCGGUUUAAUAAGUCAGUGGUGAAAGCCCAUCGCCCAACGAUGGAACGGCCAUUGAUACUGUUAGACUUGAAUUACAAGGAAGUAACUAGAAUAUGUAGUGUAGCGGUGAAAUGCUUAGAUAUUACAUGGAAUACCAAUUGCGAAGGCAGGUUACUACUUGUGGAUUGACGCUGAUGGACGAAAGCGUGGGGAGCGAACAGGAUUAGAAACCCUGGUAGUCC